rnacentral:rRNA from 1 species
AAUCCUGGCUCAGAUUGAACGCUGGCGGCAGGCCUAACACAUGCAAGUCGAGCGGUAACAGGAGAAAGCUUGCUUUCUUGCUGACGAGCGGCGGACGGGUGAGUAAUGUAUGGGGAUCUGCCCGAUAGAGGGGGAUAACUACUGGAAACGGUGGCUAAUACCGCAUAAUGUCUACGGACCAAAGCAGGGGCUCUUCGGACCUUGCACUAUCGGAUGAACCCAUAUGGGAUUAGCUAGUAGGUGGGGUAAAGGCUCACCUAGGCGACGAUCUCUAGCUGGUCUGAGAGGAUGAUCAGCCACACUGGGACUGAGACACGGCCCAGACUCCUACGGGAGGCAGCAGUGGGGAAUAUUGCACAAUGGGCGCAAGCCUGAUGCAGCCAUGCCGCGUGUAUGAAGAAGGCCUUAGGGUUGUAAAGUACUUUCAGCGGGGAGGAAGGUGAUAAGGUUAAUACCCUUNUCAAUUGACGUUACCCGCAGAAGAAGCACCGGCUAACUCCGUGCCAGCAG